rnacentral:tRNA from 1 species
GCCUUCGUGGUGUAGUGGUCAGCACACUCGACGCGAUGUCCGUGGUUCGAUUCCCGGUGAAGGCG